UACAGAGGGGGCAAGCGUUGUUCGGAAUUACUGGGCGUAAAGGGCGCGUAGGCGGUCUUCUAAGUCCUGUGUGAAAUCCCUCGGCUCAACUGAGGAACUGCACGGGAUACUGGAUGACUUGAGUUCGGGAGAGGGAAGCGGAAUUCCUGGUGUAGCGGUGAAAUGCGCAGAUAUCAGGAAGAACACCCGUGGCGAAGGCGGCUCUCUGGGACGGUACUGACGCUGAGACGCGAAAGCGUGGGGAGCGAACAGG
rnacentral:rRNA from 1 species